rnacentral:rRNA from 1 species
AAAUUUUGAAUAAAUCUAAACUUUCAACAACGGAUCUCUUGGUUCUCGCAUCGAUGAAGAACGCAGCGAAAUGCGAUAAGUAAUGUGAAUUGCAGAAUUCAGUGAAUCAUCGAAUCUUUGAACGCACAUUGCGCCCCUUGGUAUUCCGAGGGGCAUGCCUGUUCGAGCGUCAUUACACCACUCAAGCUAUGCUUGGUAUUGGGCGUCGUCCUUAGUUGGGCGCGCCUUAAAGACCUCGGCGAGGCCACUCCGGCUUUAGGCGUAGUAGAAUUUAUUCGAACGUCUGUCAAAGGAGAGGAACUCUGCCGACUGAAACCUUUAUUUUUCUAGGUUGACCUCGGAUCAGGUAGGGAUACCCGCUGAACUUAAGCAUAUCAAUAGCCGGAGGAAGAUCCUCAGCUUAUAAUAUGCAUACCCCAGGUACAACUACGGUAUCUUCCCCGGUUAUGGGAAACCUACCCGAGGCCCGGAAAGGAACCCCCUCCCCUUAAAGGAAACAUCUCUCCAGUUAGAAGAGGAAUCCCCUCUGCAAUAGAGAACCUCCCCCCCGGAUAAGAAGU